AUUGAACGCUGGCGGCAGGCUUAACACAUGCAAGUCGAACGAGUGGCGGAUGGGUGAGUUAUACUUGGGAAUCUAGCUUCUGGAGGGGGAUAAAUACGGGAAACUGUAGAUAAUACCGCGUACCGUAGGAUGCGCCCAAGUGGGAUUAGGUAGUUGGUGAGGUAAAGGCGCACCAAGCCGACGAUCUCUAGCUGGUCUGCGCGGAUGACCAGUAACUGUGUGACUGGGACACGGCCCAGCCUCCGACGGGAGGCACGAGUUGGGAAUAUUGCGCAAUGGGCGCAACCUGACGCACGCAUGCGGCGAGAAUGAAGAAGGCCUUCGGGUUGUAAAGUUCUUUAGGUAGCGAGGCGUUAACUACAGAAGAAGCACCGGCUAACUCCGUGCCAGCAGCCGCGGUAAUUC
rnacentral:rRNA from 1 species